UACGAAGGGGGCAAGCGUUGUUCGGAUUUACUGGGCGUAAAGGGCGCGUAGGCGGAUCUUUAAGUCAGAGGUGAAAGCCCUGGGCUCAACCCGGGAAUUGCCUUUGAGACUGUGGAUCUUGAGUAUGGGAGAGGGUGGCGGAAUACCAAGUGUAGAGGUGAAAUUCGUAGAUAUUGGGUAGAACACCAGUGGCGAAGGCGGCCUCCUGGCCCAUAACUGACGCUGAGGCGAGAAAGCGUGGGGAGCAAACAGG
rnacentral:rRNA from 1 species